AACCAAACGAACCCAAGAUGGGGAAACAAAAUCUGAAAACGACGGACGGAUGGACGGACUGACGCACUCCUCUGCAGCAGGGUGGAAGGAGGAGGCGGCGGCGGGCGCUCAUGGGCGCCCGGAUCGGCAAAACUAAAGCGAUACUCUGAGAGAGACACAGUGAGAGGUUUCUUAGGCGAGAUCUAGAAGGGGGGAGGCGGCGCCAUCAGACCAGCAGGUGGUGGAGCGAUCCGAUCUGAUCUGGCGGGACGGGGCCCGGACCGGGACCCACCUUACGUGGGGCAGUCGCGGGCGAUGUGGCCGGCCUCGCCGCAGUUGUAGCAGGAGCGGUCGCCGCCGCCGCCGCCGCCGCCGCCGAACCUCCCUCCACCGCCACCACCACCGCUGGGGCAGUCCCUGGCCAUGUGGCCGGUCUGGCCGCAGUUGUAGCAGGCGCCGCCGCCGCCACCACCACCGUAGCCGCCGCCGCCGCCACCGCCGUAGCCUCCACCUCCGCUGGGGCAGUCCCUGGCCAUGUGGCCAGGCUCACCGCACUUGAAGCAGCCACCUCCGCCACCUCCGUAGCCGCCACCGCCGCCACCGUAGCCUCCACCGCCGCCGUCGGCGCUGGGGCAGUCCCUGGCCAUGUGGCCAGGCUCGCCACACUUGUAGCAGGCGCCGGCUCCACCUCCGCCGCCAGAUCUCCGGCCGCCGCCCCAGCUACCGCCAUAGCUGCGGCCGCCACCGCCAGAUCCGCCGCCUCCGCGGGAGCC
rnacentral:lncRNA from 1 species